AUUGAACGCUGGCGGCAGGCCUAACACAUGCAAGUCGAGCGGUAGAGAGGUGCUUGCAUCUCUUGAGAGCGGCGGACGGGUGAGUAAUGCCUAGGAAUCUGCCUAGUGGUGGGGGAUAACGUUCGGAAACGGACGCUAAUACCGCAUACGUCCUACGGGAGAAAGCGGGGGAUCUUCGGACCUCGCGCCAUUAGAUGAGCCUAGGUCGGAUUAGCUAGUUGGUGAGGUAAUGGCUCACCAAGGCGACGAUCCGUAACUGGUCUGAGAGGAUGAUCAGUCACACUGGAACUGAGACACGGUCCAGACUCCUACGGGAGGCAGCAGUGGGGAAUAUUGGACAAUGGGCGAAAGCCUGAUCCAGCCAUGCCGCGUGUGUGAAGAAGGUCUUCGGAUUGUAAAGCACUUUAAGUUGGGAGGAAGGGUA
rnacentral:rRNA from 1 species